CCUACGGGAGGCAGCAGUGGGGAAUAUUGCGCAAUGGGGGAAACCCUGACGCAGCAACGCCGCGUGAGUGAGGAAGGACUUCGGUCUGUAAAGCUCUGUUAAUGUGGAAAAAUGGUAGUUGGUCUAAUAGGCCGAUUACUUGAUGGUACACAUAGAGGAAGCACCGGCUAACUUCGUGCCAGCAGCCGCGGUAAUACGAAGGGUGCAAGCGUUGUUCGGAUUUAUUGGGCGUAAAGCGCGCGUAGGCGGACCUGCAAGUCAGAUGUGAAAUCUCGGGGCUCAACCUCGAAACUGCGUCUGAAACUACAGGUCUAGAAUCUUGGAGGGGGAAGGGAAUUUCUCAUGUAGGGGUAAAAUCCGUAGAUAUGAGAAGGAACACCAGAGGCGAAGGCGCCUUCCUGGACAAGUAUUGACGCUGAGGCGCGAAAGCGUGGGGAUCAAACNGGAUUAGAUACCCUGGUAGUCCACGCUGUAAACGAUGAAUACUAGAUAUUGCAGGAUUUGACCCCAGCAGUGUCGUAGCUAACGCGUUAAGAUUCCGCCUGGGAAUCGGUCGCAAGACUAAACGUUAAUGAAUUGACCGGNNGAGAGNGCGACGACGACGACGAGGGAGGAGG
rnacentral:rRNA from 1 species